AGGACGAACGCUGGCGGCGUGCCUAACACAUGCAAGUGGAGCGACGACCCGGGCUUCGGCCCGGUGCAAAGCCGCGAACGGGUGAGUAACACGUGGGUAACCUGCCCUGAUGAUCGGGACAACUCGAGGAAACUCGGGCUAAUACCGAAUGUGCCCUCCGGCCGUAAGGCCUCUGGGGAAAGGAAGCUUCGGCCUCCGCAUCGGGAUGGGCCCGCGGCCCAUUAGCUUGUCGGUGAGGUAACGGCUCACCAAGGCAACGAUGGGUAGCUGGUCUGAGAGGACGAUCAGCCACACUGGGACUGAGACACGGCCCAGACUCCUACGGGAGGCAGCAGUGGGGAAUCUUGCGCAAUGCGCGAAAGCGUGACGCAGCAACGCCGCGUGGGGAAGAAGGCCUUCGGGUGUAAACCCUUUCAGUUGGACGAAGCUUCGGCGGUGAAUAGCCGUCUGGAGUGACGGUACCUUCAGAAGAAGCCCCGGCUAACUACGUGCCAGCAGCCGC
rnacentral:rRNA from 1 species